CUGUGUGCUUGCAAUGCAUAAGCUGGGACAGGAGAUGGUCGCAGCCCUGAGCUCAGAAAGGGACAUUCCAGGGGGCAGGAAUCUGGCUGUGGCAUAUCCUCCAUGUUUCUCUCUGCUACCUUUCCACCCCCAACUCCUUUAUUUUCAGGCGGUCACCUGUGACCAGGAGAAAUUGCACCAUGGAUAAAAGAGCAACCUGUACUUGGACAUUUGUGAGUACAGUAGGUUUAACCCUGAACUGCCCCAGGCACCUGCAUCUCUCCCUAAAGCCAGUACAGCUUGACUGGGAUUCAGUCAACCCUUGAAUUCAGCUUUGAUUGCUGAAGGUGGGAAUAACCUCCCCAAGCCACCAUGUCCAAUACCAUGUCCACAAGACACUUCAUGUUAUCUCUGCUGUAGUGGAGUGGAUUGGCCUCUGAAGAUCUCUGCCCUCAGAUGUAACUUGCAGAGAGCUAAACCAGACCAAGGUGGUCCCUUCUUUUGGCUUCUCCAAUUUAUUAAGUCCUUUAUCUUAAGGAGCUUGACAGAGCUCAGACAAAGACCAAGACAGAGCCUGCAAGUGUUACUAUUUGAUAUAACAUAAAUGAGUAAAAAACUGAUUGUUCUUCUGGUGUAAAACGCUCCCCUGAAAGACUGCUUGCUGCUGUGCUCUUAUGCUAGCAUCCUUCAUGGCAGACAAGGAAAUGCAGGUUGGCAGCUCCAGCUUCCCUAGAGCUCACUGUUGUUACGCAAGUCUGACGUCCUUUGACUAAAGGCCAGCCUGGUCUUUUCCUGGGGUUUUCCCACUACAAGGGGAGCAAACAUCUUCCUUGUAAUAAUAUCUUCUUAAUGCUUUUCAUGCUGUUUGUUCAUGUUAUUUCUCUAUGGCGUGUUUAUAGAACACAGCUCAGGGCUGUGGAAUCCUUCAAGAGCCAGCACUCAGUAGAAGUGCUUGGUUUGGUGGAAAAAUCUUUACUGCUGCAUAUAAAAACAAUUGCCCAGGAUCAAGUAGGCUGUAAAUGGAUUGAAGUAUGGGAUCAAAGCCCUAUAAGAGAAUCAGGAUCUUGCUUGUCAUUCUCUGGUCUAAACCGGCAAUAGCUUUGUGUUCUCUCCUACAUGCCAGGGUACCACAAGAGCUGACUGUUCCCAAAAGGAUGGGGAGCCCAACAUGAUGGCACAGAUGGCAGGACUUGUCCAUCGCUGUCUCCAUACAAGAUCUCUGGAAAAUACACGGGAAGCAGGGUGAAUGUUAUCAGCCGCUCUAUUUGCAAGCGUGUCUUCAUAAGGAAUGAUUAACACACAUCUUUCUGCCUUCCCUUCCUGAAGCCCUUCAAGAAUAUCACAGCUCCCAAGGUUGCACAGAGUUGUUGGUAAUCCUGUUAACCUUUGAGUUAAUUAAGCAAACAGGAAUCCUUCAUUAGGAGGAACAGCACUAAUUGCAUAUCCCAGAGGGUGACUUUUGCAUGGGCCGCUGGCUGUCAGAGCAGAAACCAGUGCUGACUUCAGCAAGGGGGCUGGGGAGUUAAUGGUGAUUUGCUUGAGAGAGGAGGUCAAGAAAACCUGCUUCUUCAUCAGUGCUGGACCGGUUUGUGUUUGCUGGAGGGGGGGAUGUGAAUGGAGAAGAUGCAGGGCAGUGGCACUGUCCUGCAGAGAUGCUGUGCAAGGCAGAAAGGGUCGAGCUGCUGGUACUUGGCUUUCGAGCUGACCUUAGUUUCCAAUCUAAAAAUGCGAUUCUUUAAGAGCAUGACAUGGUAAGCAGCUCUGGACAAGGGGCUACAGUGUGCAGCUGUGCUUAGUGCUCCAUGCCAGGAAGAGCUCCUAAAAAUGGACAGAGAGCUCUUUGUUUGCUGUGUGUGGUUUAGAAAUUAAGCAAUACUUAGGAGCAAAUAUUGGUUCAAACAAUAUCAGCUCCCACUCUCCAGUGGCCAGGUCAGCUCAUCUCAGGUAGAAAACAGUGUAUUGCAACACAGUCAAAACCUGACACCAAGUAUUUCUCCUAACCAGCAGGGAAACUGGUUUAUGGCAUUCCUUGAAAAAAUAAACUAACCUCAAUGACUGGAGUUUGAGCACAGCCUCAAAAUUGACCUGUAGGUACAAUCAGGGGCUGAAAACCUGUUUCUGGAAGGACUGGAACAGCUCUCCAGGGAUCUCUCAGGCCCUGGGAGCCAUGGAGAAUGCAGAGCUGGUCCCAGUUCCUCUGUCAGCCAUGAACAUGGUUGCAGAGCUGGACUCCCAUGGUGCAUCUUACUGCUGCUCCAAGCCCCGUGCCAACCCAGGCUCCAGAGGACAAUGACCCCUCUUCCAGGAGAGAGCCGGCACUGGGCUGGGAAUUCCCUUAGAUCCUUACACUUGCCAGUACUUUUUAUCCUUAAUAUCUCAAGGUGAGCUGGGUCUCAUCACACGUCUGCCAGCCUGGUGACACCUGGGAACAUCAGUGUUAUCUCCAAAGGCCUCCAUUGCUGGAUAGGAGCACCUCUACAGAAGUAACUGCUCCAAAAAGUCAGGUGAGAUGCUUGUGUUGGGGUGGUGCCUUGACUGAAGCUUUCUCUCUCCUCAGUUAAUGUUUUCCUCACAUGCAGACACAACCAGAGCUUGGGUCCAGCCUCCUUUCAGCUGCGUUGGCUCCAGGAUGAGCUCUGCAUGGGGAGCAGCUAGCUCCAUGCUAAAGCCAAGCCUUCUCACAGACGAAUUGUUGUGCCACCUCUAACUUUAUCCCAGCCCAAUUACAACAAAUGUCCUUUCCUUAGGACACAACCAAAACUCCAGUCCAGCCUUGUCUCAACCACAAACCACAGUGUGCACAUAAAGGGUUGUAGUAAUAAGGGAGAUGUAGAAACGAGCAGUAUUAUUUUACCUUCAAUUUUACUUAGGAUUGGGCUGAGCCCUGUUAUUUCCUGGGGGUUUGGAUGUGUUUAUCACCACCACCAAUGACCCAUGGCUGGCCAGAGGGUGUGCUAAUUUGUAUUUCUCCAUCAUCUGUGUCAUUUUUAGCAGCAUCCUCUUUCUGAAAACAGAACAGCCAGGAUCCAAAGUGUUGCAAUACAACAAACUUGUGAUGUGUAAUAAUAGUUCAGCUUGUUUCAUGAAGAUGUGCUGUAGAAGUCUUGAUGCUUUCUGGAUAACAAGGGCAAAAUCUGAGAGGCACUGGCUUAGUUCUGUCCUUUCUGGUAAAGCUGCUCCUGCUUUCAAGAGCCAGAGCAUUGAUGUCUUAUUUUUGAAAGACAACAAGAAUGUCUGUCAUUAGUAAGAAUUGGCCCUUGCUGUUCAAUCUCAGUUUAGCCAGAUACAUGCAUUUGAUCAUGGAAGGAGCUCUCUUUUUCACAAAACCAUGCACCCAGGUAGUGAGGUAUGGUUCUAGCUAGAGCUUGUAGAAGCAUGUGUGUAUUUAGUGAGAGAGAGGACCUGCUGUGUGAAUAGAAGUGUAUUUUUUAACACAAUGCAGGCUGCUUCCAGCCAACCUUAGCCAAGAGCCUGGUAUGGGCAAGCCCAUGGAUCUGCUGCAUGGAGAGUGCGGGCUAUGGGAGAGGAUAGACCUGUGCAGGAGAUCCAGAAGAUCACAAAAGGAGGCUGGUGCUCUUGAAAGCCAACCUGGGAGCUGGACUUCACUGCUGGGCUUCCUACAGCACCCUUGUAGCUUGUGCU